rnacentral:rRNA from 1 species
UCCGCCCGGGUAAUACGAGCAUUAGCUUAAAACCCAAAGGACUUGGUGGUGCUUUAGACCCCCCUAGAGGAGCCUGUUCUAGAACUGAUAACCCCCGUUAAACCUCACCACCCCUUGUUUUACCCGCCUAUAUACCACCGUCGUCAGCUUACCCUGUGAAGGUAACGUAGUGAGCACAAAUGGCAAAGCCAUAAACGUCAGGUCGAGGUGUAGCGAAUGGGGUGGGAAGAAAUGGGCUACAUUCUCUAUUG